rnacentral:piRNA from 2 species
UCCCAGGUGAUCUGAACAAAAGGGGGAAC